UUUAAGGUUUAACCUGCCCAAUGUUGUAGUGAUGAAUGGCCGCGGUACUCUGACCGUGCUAAGGUAGCGUAAUAAUUUGGCUUUUAAAUGGAGUCAGGUAUGAAUGGGAAAACCGGGCUUAGCUGUCUCCAAUCUAUUAUCUCGAAUUUACUGUUUAAGUGAAAAAGCUUAAUUAAUAAAAAGGGACGAGAAGACCCUUAGAAUUUUUUCAAAAAUGGUAAUAAGCAUAACGAUUUUGUUGGGGCGACGUAGAAAUAAUUAAAACUUUCUUGUGGUACACGCCGAUUUUAUUAAGACGGAAUAAAUUACCUGAGGGAUAACAGCAUAAUUUCAUAAAUAAGUUUGUGACCUCGAUGUUGGACUAGGAAACUAGCAAGCUAGC
rnacentral:rRNA from 1 species